AAAGAAUUAGUUAAUAUAUAACAUUAGUAUGUCAAACUAAAAUUAUUAGUUUAAUCUGAUAUUCUUUA
rnacentral:tRNA from 1 species